rnacentral:tRNA from 1 species
GGUUCGGUAGCUCAGUCGGCAGAGCAACUGCCUCUUAAGCAGUGGGUCGUCGGUUCGAAUCCGACCCGGACCA